AACAUCGCGCACCUGCGGGAACCUGCGGAGGGAUCAUUACAGAGUUGCAAAACUCCCUAAACCACUGUGAACGUUACCUAAACCGUUGCUUCGGCGGGCGGCCCGGGUCCUUCCCGGCGCCCCUCGGCCCUCGCGGGCGCCCGCCGGAGGUAAACCAAACUAUUGCAUUGUAUGGCCUCUCUGAGUCUUCUGUACUGAAUAAGUCAAAACUUUUAACAACGGAUCUCAGAUCGGAAGAGC
rnacentral:misc_RNA from 1 species